rnacentral:rRNA from 2 species
GCAGUCGAACGAUGAUGCCCAGCUUGCUGGGUGGAUUAGUGGCGAACGGGUGAGUAACACGUGAGUAACCUGCCCCUGACUCUGGGAUAAGCGUUGGAAACGACGUCUAAUACUGGAUAUGAUCACUGGCCGCAUGGUCUGGUGGUGGAAAGAUUUUUUGGUUGGGGAUGGACUCGCGGCCUAUCAGCUUGUUGGUGAGGUAAUGGCUCACCAAGGCGACGACGGGUAGCCGGCCUGAGAGGGUGACCGGCCACACUGGGACUGAGACACGGCCCAGACUCCUACGGGAGGCAGCAGUGGGGAAUAUUGCACAAUGGGCGAAAGCCUGAUGCAGCAACGCCGCGUGAGGGAUGACGGCCUUCGGGUUGUAAACCUCUUUUAGUAGGGAAGAAGCGAAAGUGACGGUACCUGCAGAAAAAGCACCGGCUAACUACGUGCCAGCAGCCGCGGUAAUACGUAGGGUGCAAGCGUUGUCCGGAAUUAUUGGGCGUAAAGAGCUCGUAGGCGGUUUGUCGCGUCUGCUGUGAAAUCCCGAGGCUCAACCUCGGGCUUGCAGUGGGUACGGGCAGACUAGAGUGCGGUAGGGGAGAUUGGAAUUCCUGGUGUAGCGGUGGAAUGCGCAGAUAUCAGGAGGAACACCGAUGGCGAAGGCAGAUCUCUGGGCCGUAACUGACGCUGAGGAGCGAAAGCAUGGGGAGCGAACAGGAUUAGAUACCCUGGUAGUCCAUGCCGUAAACGUUGGGCGCUAGAUGUAGGGACCUUUCCACGGUUUCUGUGUCGUAGCUAACGCAUUAAGCGCCCCGCCUGGGGAGUACGGCCGCAAGGCUAAAACUCAAAGGAAUUGACGGGGGCCCGCACAAGCGGCGGAGCAUGCGGAUUAAUUCGAUGCAACGCGAAGAACCUUACCAAGGCUUGACAUACACCGGAAACGGCCAGAGAUGGUCGCCCCCUUGUGGUCGGUGUACAGGUGGUGCAUGGUUGUCGUCAGCUCGUGUCGUGAGAUGUUGGGUUAAGUCCCGCAACGAGCGCAACCCUCGUUCUAUGUUGCCAGCGGGUUAUGCCGGGGACUCAUAGGAGACUGCCGGGGUCAACUCGGAGGAAGGUGGGGAUGACGUCAAAUCAUCAUGCCCCUUAUGUCUUGGGCUUCACGCAUGCUACAAUGGCCGGUACAAAGGGCUGCGAUACCGUAAGGUGGAGCGAAUCCCAAAAAGCCGGUCUCAGUUCGGAUUGAGGUCUGCAACUCGACCUCAUGAAGUCGGAGUCGCUAGUAAUCGCAGAUCAGCAACGCUGCGGUGAAUACGUUCCCGGGCCUUGUACACACCGCCCGUCAAGUCAUGAAAGUCGGUAACACCCGAAGCCGGUGGCCUAACCC